rnacentral:rRNA from 1 species
UGGGGAAUUUUGGACAAUGGGCGAAAGCCUGAUCCAGCAAUGCCGCGUGUGUGAAGAAGGCCUUCGGGUUGUAAAGCACUUUUGUCCGGAAAGAAAUCCUUGGCUCUAAUACAGUCGGGGGAUGACGGUACCGGAAGAAUAAGCACCGGCUAACUACGUGCCAGCAGCCGCGGUAAUACGUAGGGUGCAAGCGUUAAUCGGAAUUACUGGGCGUAAAGCGUGCGCAGGCGGUUUGCUAAGACCGAUGUGAAAUCCCCGGGCUCAACCUGGGAACUGCAUUGGUAACUGGCAGGCUAGAGUAUGGCAGGAGGGGGGUAGAAUUCCACGUGUAGCAAGUGAAAUGCGUAGAGAUGUGGAGGAAUACCCGAUGGCGAAGGCAGCCCCCUGGGCCAAUACUGACGCUCAUGCACGAAAGCGUGGGGGAGCAAACAGGAUU